GCGAUUGCAGUCCCUUCGGGGACAGAGUGACAAGUGGAGCAUGGUUGUCGUCAGUUCGUGUCGUAAGAUGUUGGGUUAAGUCCCGCAACGAGCGCAACCCUUGAUAUUAGUUGCCAGCAUUUAGUUGGGCACUCUAAGGUGACUGCCGGUGACAAACCGGAGGAAGGUGGGGAUGACGUCAAAUCAUCAUGCCCCUUAUGACCUGGGCUACACACGUGCUACAAUGGACAGAACAAAGGGCUGCGAGACCGCAAGGUUUAGCCAAUCCCACAAAUCUGUUCUCAGUUCGGAUCGCAGUCUGCAACUCGACUGCGUGAAGCUGGAAUCGCUAGUAAUCGCGGAUCAGCAUGCCGCGGUGAAUACGUUCCCGGGCCUUGUACACACCGCCCGUCACACCACGAGAGUUUGCAACACCCGAAGUCGGUGAGGUAACCUUUAUGGAGCCAGCCGCCGAAGGUUGG
rnacentral:rRNA from 1 species